rnacentral:tRNA from 1 species
AUUUUAAUAACUUAAAUUUAGAGUGUAGUAUUGAAGCUACUAUUGUGAGUUAAACUCUUAAAAUA